rnacentral:rRNA from 1 species
GAUGAACGCUGGCGGCGUGCCUAAUACAUGCAAGUCGAGCGAACAGACGAGGAGCUUGCUCCUCUGACGUUAGCGGCGGACGGGUGAGUAACACGUGGAUAACCUACCUAUAAGACUGGGAUAACUUCGGGAAACCGGAGCUAAUACCGGAUAAUAUAUUGAACCGCAUGGUUCAAUAGAGAAAGACGGUUUUGCUGUCACUUAUAGAUGGAUCCGCGCCGCAUUAGCUAGUUGGUAAGGUAACGGCUUACCAAGGCAACGAUGCGUAGCCGACCUGAGAGGGUGAUCGGCCACACUGGAACUGAGACACGGUCCAGACUCCUACGGGAGGCAGCAGUAGGGAAUCUUCCGCAGUGGGCGAAAGCCUGACGGAGCAACGCCGCGUGAGUGAUGAAGGUCUUCGGAUCGUAAAACUCUGUUAUUAGGGAAGAACAAAUGUGUAAGUAACUAUGCACGUCUUGACGGUACCUAAUCAGAAAGCCACGGCUAACUACGU